rnacentral:lncRNA from 1 species
AGCCUCCCCCAAAAGCCCCCAAAACCUUAAACCCGCAUCUGUUGCUUGCUGUUGUCAUGUACAUGAAAGUUGAUCACACAUGGGAUAAGAUGUGUCUCCUCAGCUCCUCUCUGUUUCAACACAAACAUGGCAGAAUAUUUCCUUUCUUCAAUCUUAUUUUAUUAGAUGGAUUUUUUUACAUUUAAAUCUUUUUGUCUAUGUUGGCGUUAAUGCUGAGGUUUUGUAGGCCUUGUUUCCACUUAGUGCUUGAAUAGUGGGUAAUCUCACUUGCUGGUAACAUCCUGAAGAAGGUUAUUGUCAGUGGAGGAGGACGCCGUUAAAUUCGAUGAAGAGGAUUGGAUUUCUCAGACUGUGCUAGCUGGAUUUCUCAGAACGUCUGUAUAUUACAUCUGCUAAAUAUGUCUAUGUGACCAAUAAAAUGUGAUUUAUAUUCUAGAAUUCUAAAUGACGAUAGAUUGCACCAAAAUAUGGAGCUUCAAAACGAAGGAAGUACCCUUCUUAAGAGUAUAGGCUAUUUAUCUUUGAUUAGAAAAGAAUGAUAAUCUGUGUCUGACUAAAACACUGCAAAAGAGGACUUUAAAUAGAUCAUGGCCAGUCUUUGUCCCCUAAAUGGAUUCAAAAACUGGCCAGACAGACAAGAGGGCCUAAAUCCGACCAUUGUUCAUGUGGGCGCUUCACUGUAACCUCAGCCAGGAGUACAUAUCAUACAAAAGGUACCUUACUGGAAACCCUUUCCAACGGAUCUGAAACAGCCCAGGCAGUGAGACGGCCUUGUAACUUCUGUUGUAGACAACAGAACUGUUGAUUGAUGCUCAAUGGAGUUAGGUGUCUGAAUAUCAUUGAUCACCUCUUUAUUAAACAGGAUAAACAUCUUAGUUCUGCAUAUCUGUUAAAUAUGCCAUGGUCUAGUGAUUGUGUCUCAGAGUAUGGGUCAUUUUCAGUCAGAGAGAUAGGCAUAUCCAAAUAACAAUAGUAAUGGAAAUGUAAUAUUGAAUUGUUAUUGCUUUAGAGGACAUUCAAUGAUGUUACACUUUAGAGGGAAUACACUUAGAAUUUGCUUUUAGGAGAUAUGAAAAUGUAUCCUCUUUCAAUACGCCACAAUUACAAAAUGUAAUAUACUUUACAUUUUACCACAGCUGGAAUUCAAUGAAACUCACCAUUGCAAUGCGUACACAUAGUCUGUUUCUAUACUAUUAG